rnacentral:rRNA from 1 species
AUUGAACGCUGGCGGCAGGCCUAACACAUGCAAGUCGAGCGGAUGAAGGGAGCUUGCUCCUGGAUUCAGCGGCGGACGGGUGAGUAAUGCCUAGGAAUCUGCCUGGUAGUGGGGGAUAACGUCCGGAAACGGGCGCUAAUACCGCAUACGUCCUGAGGGAGAAAGUGGGGGAUCUUCGGACCUCACGCUAUCAGAUGAGCCUAGGCCGGAGUAGCUAGUUGGUGGGGUAAAGGCCUACCAAGGCGACGAUCCGUAACUGGUCUGAGAGGAUGAUCAGUCACACUGGAACUGAGACACGGUCCAGACUCCUACGGGAGGCAGCAGUGGGGAAUAUUUGACAAUGGGCGGAAGCCUGAUCCAGCCAGGCCGCGUGUGUGAAGAAGGUCUUCGGAUUGUAAAGCACUUUAAGUUGGGAGGAAGGGAAGUAAGUUAAUACCUUGCUGUUUUGACGGUACCAACAGAAUAAGCACCGGCUAACUUCGUG